AUGACCCGCCGCCGCCGCCGCCGCCGUGCACGCCCCGCCUCGCCACCGGCGGCGCUGGAAGACGACGACCUCCUACGGAAGAUUUUCCUCCUCCUCCCACCUCAGCCGUCCACCCUUCCCCGCCUCUCCGUCGUCUGCAAGCAGUGGCGCGACGUCGUCACCGACCCCCAGUUCCUCCGCGGCUUCCGCGACCAACACAGGAAACCUCCCCUCCUCGGCCUCGUCAUGGGCCACACCGGGUCCCCCUACUUCAGGUCCGAUCUCGACCCUCCAGACCACAUCCCGCACGAGCGCUUCUUCCCUCGAGACAUCCGCAGCAUGAACAUGGACAUAUUCGACUGCCGCCAUGGGCGCGUCGUCUUCUUCGCCCAACGGCUGGGCGAGGUCGUGCUGUUUGACCCCGCCACGGGAGGCCGCCGUUGUGUGGUCGUUCCACCAGUGUUUCACGGAAAGGAGAUUGGCGUCUUCAACGCCGCUGUGAUUUGUGUUUCCGGCGACGAAGGCCACGUGCACGGCGAUUGCCACACCAGCCCAUUUCAGGUGGUCUUGAUAGGUAUCCACGAUGACAAUAAACGAGCAUUUGCCUCGGUCUACUCAUCGGAGACCGGAACAUGGGGCGAGCUCAUCUCAACAGCAGCAAUUCGGUAUAUGUGUGAACUGAACCGUCCCAGUACCCUUGUAGGGGAUUCUGUUUAUUGGGUGUUUGAUGGCAAUGAGGAUGGCAUACUCAAGUUUGAUUUAGAUAGGCAUAGCCUAGUUAAUAUCGAGAUGCCGGAUUUCAUGUAUUAUAACUGCUCGAGCAGCUUUAAGAUCAUGUCGACAGAUGAUGGCAGUUUUGGCCUUGCUGCCUUGGAAUACCAAAAAUUCGAAAUGUGGGAGAGGGAAGUCGAUUGUGAUGGUGUUGCUGGAUGGGUGCUGCAGAAGACCUUCGAACUGAACACGAUCCUUGGUCUAGGGCCUAUGGGAGGAUGUGAUAAUCUCAUGUUGGGGUACGAUGAAGAUGAUCGUGCGAUUUAUGUAAAGACAGAUAUUGGUGUCUGCAUCAUUCAGCUUGAGACAAUGCAGUUCAGAAAUCUUGGCAAAGAUAAUUUCACGACCACCGCCUAUUAUCCGUACAAAAGUUUCUAUACUGCAGUGAGUGACUUGGCAGUAUGCGAGAGGACUGGUGACCUCUUUGCACCUCUUGCAAAUGAUUACCUCCUUGCUUCAUGGGGUGUAGGAGCAGUAGGAGGUAAUGAAGCAGCUACCUCGAGUGAAACCUUACCGGAUGGAGGUACGGUCGGCAUGUCAAAGCACAUAGAUCAAGGAAAGGAUGCAGAUCCUGUGCCUAGCCGCGCACUAAAACAAACACGAAUUGACGUGAUAUUCAAGAAGGAGACCGAGACAAGAUCAAAGCUUAGCAAAGCUUGGGCAAAAUGGUUUCGGAGCAAUGGUGUUCCUGGAAAUAAAGCAGACUGCCCACUCUUUCGUAGUGCCUUGAAGCUAACACAGCAGCUAGGUACCCGGUUCAUUGCUCCUACAGGCAACGAAAUAGACGGUGCAAAUCUGGAUGCCAGUGAUGAAGAACUUCCGUAG
rnacentral:rRNA from 1 species